rnacentral:tRNA from 1 species
GCCACCUUAGCAUAGCGGCAUUGCGUCGGUCUUGUAAACCGAAGGUCGUGGGUUCGAUCCCCACAGGUGGCU